GAUAUGCUUAUAGAUAUAAAGGAAGUAGCUAAGGGAAUGUACUCUAUUACUUCACUGUCCCAGUCAACAAAAAAAUGUUUAUUUUCUGUUGGAUUUUGUGUAAUUUCUAGCAACAUUUUUUCGUUUUGGAUUGCUGCUGGUGAAAGACUCUUUUGUAUAUUUUGAUAUUUAGAUCUAUAUUUAUAUUGCAUUUUUAUUUGUGUAACAAUAAUGGCCAAUAAGCAUAAUAAAAGGCAAAGUUGUGGUAGAAAAAGAAAAUUUCGUGGGAAUAAAUACACCAAGUCUGCAAAGUCUACAAGUAGUACAAGUGAUGAUCAUGGACAAGUUGGUGAACAACAAGAGACACAUCAAGCUGCUUCACCUAAUGUAGAUAUUUCAUCUGAAUCAAGUUUAUCAGAUAAUCCAUUGGAUUGUAAUAUCUUUUUAAACCUAGCAUGUUUUAAUAAUUUCUUGGCAAGUUACUUGAUAUGUCCUAAAAGGCUAAAUGCUUCAACUAUUCUCUAAAUUUGUUUUUGAAUGAAAGCGCAAGAAUUGGAUUUUGUCAGGAACUAAUUGUGAAAUGCACUUCAGCUGACUGCUCAUUUGAAGAAAGCUUUAGAUCUUCUAAAGAAAAUAGAGAUGGUCAAAAAAGAGGAUUUAGGGAAAUAAAUCUCAGAAUGGUAUCAUUUGUAAGAUCCAUAGGUCGAGGUCACAGUGCGCUCUUGAAUUUUUGUCAACACACAAACAGUCCAGCUCCUAUUUCUGAAACAUCUUAUCAAUCUGUAAUGCAUACCAUAGGCCUUGCAUCUAAGAAAGUUGCAGAAGAAAGUAUGGAAAAGGCUGCAAGGGAAGUGAAAGAAAAGGUUGGAAUCAGCAACGAAGAAGGCAUCACUGACUGCGGUGUGAGCGUUGAUGGGACAUGGCAGCGUCGAGGGCACUCGAGCCAUCAUGGCGUUGUUACAGCCAUAUCAAUAGAAACAGCCUCUCAGCACGUCACAACUGAGAAAACAAUCUCUGCAACGCUUCAGAGAGAUACAUUAUGGGUUCUCCUGAUGCGGAAAAAAAAGCCUGGGACAGAGUAUAAUCCAUGGCUGUUCUCUCCCUGCAGUGUCAGUUACUUUACCAGCUUUUUGAAGAAAAAAUUGAGCUCCAGUCGAGGUUACAAUUGUCUUGUCUACGCUGUCGAAGCAUCAGCAGACAUUCCAGAUGUAUCUGAUAAACUAUUGGGUCAGGUGAUCAAACCUGAUCAACAGUGUCAACAGUUUUUUUGGAAAUGAUUCCUUCUUUUGCAGGGUCUGCAUAAAUGGACAAUGUGUCAGCGACCCAUACGCUCCUCAACUUGAUGGCUGUGAAUACGGAGAUAGAAUCAUCGAUUGUACAAAAGAUCACUGCUUGAAUUCUCAAGUGGAUUGCUGCGGCAUGUGUAGCUAUGGCACCCCCUUUACCCCAACGUACAGCACCAGAAGAAGCACACCUAAAAGAUUAGCCACGACAGUAAAUCCCCUUGUGCUAUUCACUUCAAUUAAAGAUUGUGAACAAGGAGAUCAAGACUUGAGACCAGAACUGUGUACUAACUUUAGCGUCUGCCUAAUACAGCCAACACAGUGCUGUCACUACUGCUCGUCAUAUUACACGUCUGCAACUACAAGUACCACGACAACGAGACCAUUGAUACCCUCCACUUCACCCAAAACUAAAUGUGAACCAGGAGAUCUAGACUUGAGGCCAGAACUGUGCACUAACACUAGUGUCUGCCUGACAAAGUCAUCACUAUGCUGUCACUAUUGCUCGUUACAUUACAAUUCUUCAACUACAAGUACCACACAAUUAACGCCCCCCAACGAUACAGAGUGUGUAGUAGGAGAACCAGAUUUAAGUCCACAGCUGUGUACUAGCCCAAGUAUCUGCCAGACACAACCAUUGAUGUGCUGUAAAUAUUGUUCUUCCCGUGACAAUUCUGCCAGCCGUCUCUCAUUAUACACUAUUUGGAUAGAUCUAUAUUAUUCUAUAUCGUUGUUUUUUGAAUUGCGUUCUAUUAUUAUAUGUCUAUUAGGUAGAUAAAGUACAAAUGUCUAUUAGGAAGACAAAUUACAAAUGUCUAUUAGGUUGCUAAAGUAGAAAUGACUAUUAGGUAGAUAAAGUACUUAGUAGCCCGAGUAGGUCUACUCCACUGAAAUCCCCUUGGCUUUGUUCGAUAUUUUACUAGAUUCUAGUUUAUAUAGAAUAUAUAUACUACAACAAGUUAGUUUUAGUUUUUGUCCCCACAACGAUAUCAAUCAUAAUGAAGCAAUCAUUGGUGUACUGUGCAUGAAAUAAUUGUAGUUUUAUAGACCUCUAAUAAAACGUCGCUUUGAUAAUUGAGGUAAUUGAUAAUUUGCAUGUUUUUGGACAUCCUCUUCUAAUACUGGAUAAAUUGUGUUGCUAGUUUGUUUUUUUCAUUAAACGAUUUCAAGUUCUUUAUAUAAUGUGUUGCCUUUUCCAUUUAUAAGUUAUUUUACAGUUACUACACUUGUAACGACUUGUUUGUUUUGUUUCUUUUAGUGUAAAUGAACUUUCCAAUUUAAUUUUUUAAAGCAUUGAUUCUGAUUUGCCUUUAAAUGUAUUUAUAAAUCUAUAAAGAAAACUAAACUAGACCCAACACCGGAUGGCUCUCUCUGCACUAGAUGUGGAAAAAUAUACAGGUUGUGACUGGGUUUGAGUAGUCAUGUGAAACACUGCAUUCAUUAAAAUCUUGGAAAUUGAAGGCAUUGACAUUCAUUGUAUAUCAUUUGUCUUCAGUGUAAUUAUUAUAGGAUUGUUUCCACAGAAUUUUAACAUUUGUUAUGUUGUCUUCUUCAUCAUCAAUUACACCUUAAUAAUGUUGAUUUAUCUAUAUUGUUUCUGUAAGCAAGUACUCUAUAAUUAAUGUUUAAACAAAACAGUGUAUGAUGCUGGCAAAUGCUUGUUACUGCAGACUAAUAAACAGCUGUAUGCUGGUAUUUUGUAAACAAAUACAGACAAAAUUCCACAAAUAAAUGACAGGAGAGGGAACUGUUUCAAAAUUUAAUUGCAACAAAUAGUUUGUCCUAAUUUUAGGUAAAUAACAAGCGUUACAUCCAGGUAAUAACUUUAGUACUUUAUAUCCUCAGUAAAUAGUUUGAUUAUGCUAUUCACAAGUAACAUUUCAGAAAAGCUGCAAAUAAACUGAGUCCCUUCAAAACAACUGUCCAUCUCAUGGCUAAAUGUUUAUAAAAAAAAUUGA